AGUGAACGCUGGCGGUAGGCCUAACACAUGCAAGUCGAACGGCAGCACAGUAAGAGCUUGCUCUUACGGGUGGCGAGUGGCGGACGGGUGAGGAAUACAUCGGAAUCUACUUUUUCGUGGGGGAUAACGUAGGGAAACUUACGCUAAUACCGCAUACGACCUACGGGUGAAAGCAGGGGAUCUUCGGACCUUGCGCGAUUGAAUGAGCCGAUGUCGGAUUAGCUAGUUGGCGGGGUAAAGGCCCACCAAGGCGACGAUCCGUAGCUGGUCUGAGAGGAUGAUCAGCCACACUGGAACUGAGACACGGUCCAGACUCCUACGGGAGGCAGCAGUGGGGAAUAUUGCACGAGGGGCGCAAGCCUGAUCCUGCCAUACCGCGUGGGUGAAGAAGGCCUUCUGGUUGUAAAGCGCUUUUGUUGUGAAAGAUAAGCAGCAGGUUAAUACCCCGCUGUUCUGACGGUACCCAAAGAAUAAGCACCGGCUAACUUCGUG
rnacentral:rRNA from 1 species